AGCGUAGGCGGUCAAGCAAGUCAGGGGUGAAAGGCAUCGGCUCAACCGAUGUAAGCCUUUGAAACUGUUUGACUUGAGUGCAGGAGAGGAAAGUGGAAUUCCUAGUGUAGCGGUGAAAUGCGUAGAUAUUAGGAGGAACACCAGUGGCGAAGGCGACUUUCUGGACUGUAACUGACGCUGAGGCUCGAAAGCGUGGGGAGCGAACA
rnacentral:rRNA from 1 species